rnacentral:rRNA from 1 species
GAUCCUGGCUCAGGAUGAACGCUAGCGGGAGGCCUAACACAUGCAAGCCGAGCGGUAUUGUUUCUUCGGAAAUGAGAGAGCGGCGUACGGGUGCGGAACACGUGUGCAACCUGCCUUUAUCUGGGGGAUAGCCUUUCGAAAGGAAGAUUAAUACUCCAUAAUAUAUUGAUUGGCAUCAAUUAAUAUUGAAAGCUCCGGCGGAUAGAGAUGGGCACGCGCAAGAUUAGCUAGUUGGUGAGGUAACGGCUCACCAAGGCGAUGAUCUUUAGGGGGCCUGAGAGGGUGAUCCCCCACACUGGUACUGAGACACGGACCAGACUCCUACGGGAGGCAGCAGUGAGGAAUAUUGGUCAAUGGGUGCAAGCCUGAACCAGCCAUCCCGCGUGAAGGACGACUGCCCUAUGGGUUGUAAACUUCUUUUGUAUAGGGAUAAACCUACUCUCGUGAGGGUAGCUGAAGGUACUAUACGAAUAAGCACCGGCUAACUCCGUG